GGGUUGUGAGGUUAAGCGACUAAGCGUACACGGUGGAUGCCCUGGCAGUCAGAGGCGAUGAAGGACGUGCUAAUCUGCGAUAAGCGUCGGUAAGGUGAUAUGAACCGUUAUAACCGGCGAUUUCCGAAUGGGGAAACCCAGUGUGAUUCGUCACACUAUCAUUAACUGAAUCCAUAGGUUAAUGAGGCGAACCGGGGGAACUGAAACAUCUAAGUACCCCGAGGAAAAGAAAUCAACCGAGAUUCCCCCAGUAGCGGCGAGCGAACGGGGAGCAGCCCAGAGCCUGAAUCAGUGUGUGUGUUAGUGGAAGCGUCUGGAAAGGCGCGCGAUACAGGGUGACAGCCCCGUACACAAAAAUGCACAUGCUGUGAGCUCGAUGAGUAGGGCGGGACACGUGGUAUCCUGUCUGAAUAUGGGGGGACCAUCCUCCAAGGCUAAAUACUCCUGACUGACCGAUAGUGAACCAGUACCGUGAGGGAAAGGCGAAAAGAACCCCGGCGAGGGGAGUGAAAAAGAACCUGAAACCGUGUACGUACAAGCAGUGGGAGCCUCUUUAUGGGGUGACUGCGUACCUUUUGUAUAAUGGGUCAGCGACUUAUAUUCUGUAGCAAGGUUAACCGAAUAGGGGAGCCGAAGGGAAACCGAGUCUUAACUGGGCGUUAAGUUGCAGGGUAUAGACCCGAAACCCGGUGAUCUAGCCAUGGGCAGGUUGAAGGUUGGGUAACACUAACUGGAGGACCGAACCGACUAAUGUUGAAAAAUUAGCGGAUGACUUGUGGCUGGGGGUGAAAGGCCAAUCAAACCGGGAGAUAGCUGGUUCUCCCCGAAAGCUAUUUAGGUAGCGCCUCGUGAAUUCAUCUCCGGGGGUAGAGCACUGUUUCGGCAAGGGGGUCAUCCCGACUUACCAACCCGAUGCAAACUGCGAAUACCGGAGAAUGUUAUCACGGGAGACACACGGCGGGUGCUAACGUCCGUCGUGAAGAGGGAAACAACCCAGACCGCCAGCUAAGGUCCCAAAGUCAUGGUUAAGUGGGAAACGAUGUGGGAAGGCCCAGACAGCCAGGAUGUUGGCUUAGAAGCAGCCAUCAUU
rnacentral:rRNA from 1 species